CUUGACAGUAGCGUGUGUUUACAAAAGGAUUUUAACAGUGAAGUGUUAUUGCUUUGUUUGCCUGCUACAGAACAGUGAACUGUGAAUGAGUCUCUUUGCAAGGGAUGAUUAUUGUUGAAUACGGGGAAGGGGAAGGAAAGGCACAGUCUGAGGAGACUACUUCAGUGGCACACCUUGAAGACAAAUAAGACUUAUCACACUCUUCCAGCUGUCUGGCAUGUGUUUGCAU